UAAAGCGCACGCAGGCGGUCUGUCAAGUCGGAUGUGAAAUCCCCGGGCUCAACCUGGGAACUGCAUUCGAAACUGGCAGGCUUGAGUCUUGUAGAGGGGGGUAGAAUUCCAGGUGUAGCGGUGAAAUGCGUAGAGAUCUGGAGGAAUACCGGUGGCGAAGGCGGCCCCCUGGACAAAGACUGACGCUCAGGUGCGAAAGCGUGGGGAGCAAACAGGAUUAGAUACCCUGGUAGUCCACGCCGUAAACGAUGUCUACUUGGAGGUUGUGCCCUUGAGGCGUGGCUUCCGGAGCUAACGCGUUAAGUAGACCGCCUGGGGAGUACGGCCGCAAGGUUAAAACUCAAAUGAAUUGACGGGGGCCCGCACAAGCGGUGGAGCAUGUGGUUUAAUUCGAUGCAACGCGAAGAACCUUACCUGGUCUUGACAUCCACGGAAGUUUUCAGAGAUGAGAAUGUGCCUUCGGGAACCGUGAGACAGGUGCU
rnacentral:rRNA from 1 species